CCUGUCCAAAAGGACGCAUGCGCGUCGUCGCGAGUGCGUGGACGGGUCCGUAAGGACUGACUCUGAAUCAGUGCAUUGGUCUGUGUACUGGUGAAAAUGUCUGCAGCACUGAGGCGGACAGUGCGGGUCGUGGAUCAUUCUGCAGCCGUGAUUGUUGAACUUUCAGUGGACCUGAGUCACCGUCACGAACCAUGUUAACGGAAGGAGACCGAACUAUAAACCGAGUCCACAAUCUACUUACUCCAUUGGACGACAGUGAUCUGGAUGAAAGUGUGACCCAGAUUCUGCGGAACCAUCACAACUGUGGAUACAAAAUGAUGGUUGGGCACCUGAAUGCACAAGGCAUCCGCAUACAGCAAUAGAGAGGCUCUGGAGAGAUGUUUAUGGGGGGGCGCUUGAUCUGUUCUACACAAUCUUUACCAACCUUGAGAGAGAUGGCCUUCUAAAUCCUGACAACGAAGUUCAUCUCUAUGCGCUACACUGGUGCUUUCUGCCUCAUAUUCAGAAGCACCUUCAGACUUUCCGGCACGGCUGGAACAGCCACCGACUGAGGACUGAGGGAAAUCAGUCCCCACUUCAACUCUGGACUUGCCAUGAGCAUGAGGCACAGCAGGACCCCAUGCAGGUUGACACCGAAUAUGGAAUUGACUGGACUGGACCAUGUGGUCAUCGAGAGCCAAGUAUUGUGGUCCCUGAAGUUCAGCUGCUGCGCUCCCUGACUGAGCAGGAAUUAGAAAGUCUACCAGAGCCCGAUGGCCCUCUGUCCAAUGUGUUGGAUGUUUACAUACAAACUGUAAGCCUAUUAUCAGCAAUGCUCCAAUAAUAUUUGCACAAUGGCAGAACGUCCAGGUUUUUGUUUUUCACAGUCUUCUGCAUUGUACAACAUGCUAAUAAAAGACUUGUGCAUUGUUCAACAUGUUCAUAAAAAACAGUUCCUGCAUUGUUCAACGUGUUCAGAAAACAAACUAAUACCAUGGUCUGGGUGACUACUCAGAUCUGAUUGGCCGACAGGUAUGUUCAGCUCAAGUUAAACCGAACAAGAUUCAUCCGCUUUAUCCUCCAGACAACAGAAGGAAUGUGUGUAUGAGUAGAGUUGUGUGGGCACAGCAAGGGGUCGCAGCCUAGACAUUGGUCUUCUUCCUCCGUGUGAGUAGGGACCAAAGAGUCUUGACACUUCGGCUGGGAUGAAGUGAUGAGAACAGGCAAUAAUCAAUUUUAGGAAAUUAAAAUAACAUCAAAACAGAAUAAACCACUCAUCACCAGUAGAGUUGGGUCGGUUCUCGGUAAUACCAAUUCGGUCCGGUAC